UUAAUGCAGUACGAAAUGCGAACGUCAGAUUAUUGUUAUUUUUUCACAAUUUGCCGAAGCAUUUGAUUUGUGAAUGAAUGACUCUUUUGAACGAGUCGAUUCUUCACAAAAGGAAUUACUGUUUUGUACCGGGUCGAUUCUAAAAUAGGUAUUGAUUGAACGGUUUGAAUCAAUUUGAAUCUGAAUCUGAAUCAUCUGAACAUCUGCAGCACUUCUCUCUCGUAACGUCGUGAAACUUAAAAACACGCCAAUAGGAGUGUUAGAUGAAGUGGAUGCAAGUGAACUAUCAAUCUACUGAAACAAAAGCGGUAAAUGUAUUCGAAGAAGAAAAUGCUCGCGCGACCUGUGCGUCAGACCCGGAUAAACGCACGCGAGCUGACAAAAUCCUUAGAAGCUGUUAUUCAAUACAAUGGCUGUGUAUUGCCAACAAUUUCCUGAUACGAUACGUAUCCCGAUACAAGGUCACGUACUUUGAUUUCAUACAUCAAUCAGUGUAUACAAUGCCACUUCAAGAUGAACACACCUAAUAUCAGCUUACCCCCAAGCCAUCCAAGAGAUGCUCUUAAGGACAACGCCCUGAUGUCCAAGGUCAAUCAGCAAGAAGCUGAGAAGGCACUGUAAAAAUGGUUCACUGGGGCAAGGGACAGAGGAGGACAGAGAGCAUCAAGAAUGCAGAAAAGGAUGUCUGUUUGAGAAAGGUUAUAACUACAGUUGCUGAUUUGAACUGUCAUAGUUCUUUUAUUUUUCUUAAAGGAAAACCUUUUUCAAUAUUUUACCAUGUUCUUCCCUCAACUUAGAUGAAUUAAUACAUACCUCUAUUUUCUCAAUGCGUGCACUUAAAGGUGGGGUGCACAAUUUCUGAAAAAGAAAGUUUUGGAAAAGGGAGUCGGGCCGACUACCAAAACACACUUGUAGCCAAUCAGCAGCAUGUCUACUAACUGACAUCGUUUCCUGCGUUGCGUAUUUGUGGGGCGGGUCUAUCAAAAAAAGGUCCAGAUUCUAUUAGUGUAAGGGUGUGUUUGUUUAGAUGAUUUCAAAUGUAAACAUUGGCUUUCAUGCACCCUGCCUUUAUUUGUUGUGAAUUGUGGCGUGAAUAUGUUAGCAUUUAGCCUAGCACCAUUCAUUCAUUAAGAUCCAAACAGGGAAGAAUUUAAAAGCCACCAAACACGUCCAUGUUUUCUAGGGGUGCACGAUUCAGAAAAUUUCACGAUUCGAUUCCGAUUUUUUUUUUUUUUUGCUCAAGAUUCGAUUAAAAACAAAAGAUUUUCGAUUCAAAAACGAUUCUUGAUUUUAACAAACGAUUCACAUUAUGUAAACGUAGUUUACUUUUUCCUAUGUGACUGAUUGAAGUAGAUAUACAAUUUUAAAGAAAAGAAACACAACAAGCUAAAUGUAGUUUGAUGUUACUUUAUGUCUUUAUGCAAAAAUAAAAACUGUUAUGAAGCAAUUAGAUGACCCCUUUUAUCAAACUCUAUUAAAUACAAUAAUAUAGUACAUUAAUGAUAGACAGUGCAGGUCUAUAGAUUAUAAAUGUGACUGGUGUUAUAAUGGUUAUUAUUUCUAUUAGAUAGGCACUUUUCCUGCUUCUGCUCUUUCUAUCUAUUUCUCUCUUGCAGAUUUAAAAAAGCUAAAUCCACUCAUUAUUUCAGAUUGAAAAGUCUACUUGCUGUUAGUGACAGGGGACUUUACAUUACAGCUUUGGGUUUUGUAAAUCUUGAGUCAGCUUGAGUUUUGCUCAUUCAGUGCAAUAGAUUUUGGAAAAGAUAUGGUUUAUUAAUUAUAAUAGAAAAGAGCCAGUUGUUAUCGCCAUAGAAACCGUCGGCACGCUGAAACUGCACGCAAGCUUUAGCGCGGUAGCGCUCACGGCCAUUCUCCGAUCGACUUAGGUUUUACACACAAUAUUAAUCAGACUUGGGACACGAAGUAAUUUAACUAUGACUGACCCGGACCGGGCUGACCAUUUCAAAUACAAACCCGGAACCAUACGGGCCGCGGGUGCUCCGUGAAGUCCUCUAAUGGUAAAACUCUGCUCAAGUUCAGAAACAUGAAGGAUACAAUGUGACACGAGCUUGUUCACGUCGCAUCCCAAUUCAUUGAGAAACAGAGAGCACGUGAACGCACACCGAACUUCUCAUGUCGCACACAAAAUGUCAUUAUUAAAGAGUGUCAUCAUCACAGAAAAACAUAAAAGACUAAAUUUGAUGCCAGAUAUACCUGGGCACUUGUUAAUAUAACUGGGCAGCGCGCCCAAGUAAAGUCAAUAUGUGGGAAACACUAUGAGUGACAAGAGUGUGCGGGCGUCAGAGUGAAUAUGACGCAGCGUCAUCUAUGGGAAUACUGAGAUAAACUAAUUUCAGGACAUUAGUAACACAGCAUUACAAAAAAAAUGUAUGAAUCGAUUUUUGUAAUGCUAUUAAUCAAAUGUGAAUCGAUUUUUUUGCACACCCCUAAUGUUUUCCCUAUUCAAAGACUGUUACAUGAGUAGUUACACGAGGAAGUAUGGUAAAAAAUAUAACUAUAUUGCACUUAGUUUGUAGCACUUCGACCUUGGGCACAGUAACAUCAUCACUCCUGACUACUCCCCCUCUUGCUUAAACUACGGUCAAUAUAACCAACACGCCUGUACUAACGUAGUAGAUUGAGCAGACUCUGCGAAAUAUCAAGUUAAGUUUAAGUGUACACAUUGAGAAAAGAGAGAUAUGUAUUUAUUCGGCUAAGUUGAGGGAAGAACAUAGUAAAAUAUUGAAAAACUGUGUUUGUAAUUAUCUUACUUUCAUUUACUUUUAAAGGCGCCAUUUCACAAGAGUUUUUUAAGAUGUAAAAUAAAUCUUUGGUGUCUCCAGAGUACAUAUAUGAAGCUCUAGCUCAAAAUAUUAUAUAGAUAAUUUGUUAUAGCAUGUUAAAAUUGCCACUUUGCAGGUCCGGGCAAAACUGCGUCCUUUAAACGUGUCCUUUAAAAUGCAAACACAGAUCACAAUGAUGGUGGUUUGUUGAGAUUGAAACUCAGUUGUGCUGUCAAUUAUUUUUUCUCACUCUCUGCACUAAAUGGCAGUGCCAUGUUUGGAUAGUGCAGAUUUAGGAGUGUUAUUAUUAUAAUAAGAUCCUCUUCUGAUAUCACAAGGGGAGCCAAAUUUCAAUUACCUAUUUUUUCACAUGCUUGCAGAGAAUGGUUUACCAGGUUUUCAUGAUAUGGCCCCUUUAAAUAUAAUUGUUUUCAAAUUUUAUUUGCAAUAAACUUAUCAAAGUACAUACCUCCUUAUACUAUAUACGGUGGCUAGAAAAGGAAUGUAAAUCUUUUGGAAUUUCAUACUUUUUUUUAAAAUACAUUUUUCAUAAAAUGUGAUCUGAUCUCCAUCUAACAUAAUGUGUCUAAAAAAUAACACAACUUCUGAUCUUUCAUGUCUAUAUUGAACACACUUAGAGGCCAACCACAUCAAACGUGUUUAUGGCAGUUGCAGGCACCUUUUUUGAAUGAUAUUCUUUAGGCAGGGAGUGUUUGCACACUGUUUAUGGGUGCCGAACGCCUUGUGGUUUUUGCCGCCAGUCGCAGCACGAGCUUUUGAAGGAGCGCUGAGGGCGGAAAAGCGCCCGACGUCAUUCCCAUCUUUCCAUUGUCCAAUCGAAUGAGGGGAGAGGCAGGCCUUACGUUGUGGUGAGGGAAGUUUACAGUUGCUUUGAAGAACCGGACUCCACUCUCUCACUCUCUCCUGCGUCUUUGUGCACCUUUCACCCUCAAACAAGGUCGGAGUAAACGCUCUCUUUUUAAAGUUCCUGCUAAUAUGACAGUUAACAGCAAAAGAGCGCUCAAGCUUCAAUAUUUGGACUUAUCAUGUGUAUGGCCUUCUUCAAGUUAAUCCAUAAAAUCUCUAUUGGGUUGAGGUCUGGGCUUUGACUUGGCCACUCCAAAAGGCGGAUUUUGUUUUUCUGAAGCCAUUCUCUUGUGGACUUGCUCUGGUGUUUUGGAUCUUUGUCCUGUUGCAUCACCCAGACAAUCCUUCUACAGAAUUAUCCUGAAGAAUUGUCUGAUAAACUUGGGAAUUUUCUUCCCCUCAAUGAUUGCAAGCUGGCCAGGCCCUGAUGCAGCAAAAAAGGCCCAAAUCAACAUGUUUUCUCCACCAUACUUUACAGUUGGGAUGAUGUUUUCACAAUGAUAUCGCGUGCCCUUUCUAUGCCAGAUGUAGUGCUGUGUGUUUUUUCCAAAUAGUUCAAUCUUUGUUUCAUUAGUCCACAAAACAUUUUGCCAAAUACCACUGUUGGAAUGUCAAUUUGUUCUUUUGCAAAUUUCAGGGGAAUAGCAAUGUUCCUUUUAGUACUGUAAGUAGUGACUUUCUUUGGUGUCCUGCCAUGGAUACACUGCUUGUUCAGUGUUUUACGUGUUGUAGACAAUCAUACAGAGAGUUCCAAUAAUGCCUUCAAAUCUUUGCAUGUCAUUCUGGGUUGUUUCUUUACCUCAUUCUUCGUGGUGCUCUUGGUGUCAUUUUGACUGGGCGUCCAUCUCUUGGUAGAGUAGCAACAGUCCCAAAAGCAUCUCCAUUUUUAGAUUGUAUGUCUGUAGACUGGUGAAUUUCUAAAGUCUUUGACAUAACUCUUAAACCUUUCCAGCUUCAUGUAAAGCAACAAUUCUUGAUUGUAGCUUUUCUGAAAGCUCUUUUUGGUGAGGCAUGGCCCAUAUAAAAAAAUAAACUCCAAAAGUAAACUUCAAAGUAGCUGUAGUCCACACCUCCAAAUGCAUUAUCUUAAAGAGACUCCAGGUGUGAUAAAACCUGACUCCAAUUUGCUUUUUCGAGGUCUUGUUGGCUUAAAAGUUCACAUACUUUUUUCACAAGCACUAUGAGUUUUUUGGCUGUUCUUAAAUAAUUCUGUUCUUUCAUUUCUUUAUUGUUAAAUUUUUUUAGAACCAUUAUGUUUGUUCAAUAUUCUUGACUUGAAAUUUAUUUAGAAAGCUAUGAAAUUCCAAAAGGUUAAUAGACUUUAUCUUGUUACUGUAUUUAUUAAAGGAUAUACUUUUCAAAACACUCAAGACCCUAAAAGGUUCUAAAAUAGUUUUGUGCCAUUGUAACAAAUGUGGC